UUGAGCGAUCUUCUUCGGAAGAGAGCGGCGGACGGGUGAGUAACGCGUGGGUAACCUGCCCUGUACACACGGAUAACAUACCGAAAGGUAUGCUAAUACGGGAUAACAUAAGAAAUUCGCAUGUUUUUCUUAUCAAAGCUCCGGCGGUACAGGAUGGACCCGCGUCUGAUUAGCUAGUUGGUGAGGUAACGGCUCACCAAGGCGACGAUCAGUAGCCGACCUGAGAGGGUGAUCGGCCACAUUGGAACUGAGACACGGUCCAAACUCCUACGGGAGGCAGCAGUGGGGAAUAUUGCACAAUGGGCGAAAGCCUGAUGCAGCAACGCCGCGUGAGCGAUGAAGGCCUUCGGGUCGUAAAGCUCUGUCCUCAAGGAAGAUAAUGACGGUACUUGAGGAGGAAGCCCCGGCUAACUACGUGCCAGCAGCCGCGGUAAUACGUAGGGGGCUAGCGUUAUCCGGAUUUACUGGGCGUAAAGGGUGCGUAGGCGGUCUUUUAAGUCAGGAGUGAAAGGCUACGGCUCAACCGUAGUAAGCUCUUGAAACUGGAGGACUUGAGUGCAGGAGAGGAGAGUGGAAUUCCUAGUGUAGCGGUGAAAUGCGUAGAUAUUAGGAGGAACACCAGUAGCGAAGGCGGCUCUCUGGACUGUAACUGACGCUGAGGCACGUAAGCGUGGGGAGCAAACAGGAUUAGAUACCCUGUUAGUCCACGCCGUAAACGAUGAGUACUAGCUGUCGGAGGUUACCCCC
rnacentral:rRNA from 1 species